rnacentral:rRNA from 1 species
UACGUAGGGGGCUAGCGUUGUCCGGAAUUAUUGGGCGUAAAGCGCACGUAGGCGGUUUGUUAAGUCGGAUGUGAAAUCCCUCGGCUCAACUGAGGAAGUGCAUCCGAAACUGGCAGGCUUGAGUACUAAAGAGGGUCGCGGAAUUCCCGGUGUAGAGGUGAAAUUCGUAGAUAUCGGGAGGAACACCGGUGGCGAAGGCGGCGACCUGGGUAGAUACUGACGCUGAAGUGCGAAAGCGUGGGGAGCAAACAGG